rnacentral:rRNA from 1 species
UAGGGAAUAUUCCGCAAUGGACGAAAGUCUGACGGAGCAAUGCCGCGUGAGUGAUGAAGGCCUUUGGGUCGUAAAACUCUGUCUUUGGGGAUGAAACCAUUAUGUGCUAAUACCACAUAGUAUUGACAGUACCCGAGGAGGAAGCCCCGGCUAACUACGUGCCAGCAGCCGCGGUAAUACGUAGGGGGCGAGCGUUGUCCGGAAUCAUUGGGCGUAAAGGGCGUGUAGGCGGUUUUGUAAGUCAGAUGUGAAAACUUGAGGCUCAACUUCAAGCCUGCAUCUGAAACUACAUCACUUGAGGGCAGGAGAGGAAAGUGGAAUUCCAUGUGUAGCGGUGAAAUGCGUAGAUAUAUGGAAGAACACCAGUGGCGAAGGCGACUUUCUGGACUGAACCUGACGCUGAGGCGCGAAAGCCAGGGGAGCGAACG